GGGGAAUAUUGCGCAAUGGGGGAAACCCUGACGCAGCAACGCCGCGUGAAGGAAGAAGGCCUUCGGGUUGUAAACUUCUUUGAUUGGGGACGAAGAAAGUGACUGUACCCAAAAAACAAGCCACGGCUAACUACGUGCCAGCAGCCGCGGUAAUACGUAGGUGGCAAGCGUUGUCCGGAAUUACUGGGUGUAAAGGGCGCGUAGGCGGGUGACCAAGUCAGAUGUGAAAUUCCGGGGCUUAACUCCGGCGCUGCAUCUGAAACUGGACAUCUUGAGUGCUGGAGAGGAAAGCGGAAUUCCUAGUGUAGCGGUGAAAUGCGUAGAUAUUAGGAGGAACACCAGUGGCGAAGGCGGCUUUCCGGACAGUAACUGACGCUGAGGCGCGAAAGCGUGGGGAGCAAAC
rnacentral:rRNA from 1 species